AAAUUACCAAAGCCUUCCGGGUCAGGCUGUGGAAGUCAGUCAGGCUCCGGAAGCCAAGUUCCGGAAGUCAGUAAGGCCUCGGAAGUCAAGUCCUGGAAGUUGGGCUUGCAAUCAUUAGGUGGAGAUAUUGUUUGUUCUGUGCUCAGAAUUCCCUGGAGUGAGACUCAGGACAAUAUUAAAUCCAAUGAAUCACGCAGCUUUCAGGAGGGCAGGGCAGCACGCUGCAGAGCAGCACUGAAUGAUGGCUUGGCCUGGCGUCCCUGGUGGCAGCAGUGGCCGCACCAGGCACCGUGUUCUCAUUCAACAAAGACUCAGAAUCUUCCUGGUUUGUGGAAAGAGUGCUAUUCUGACAUUGGAUGCUGCUGAGAAUCGGGCAACAGUCUUAGUGAGGUGACCAUCAUCUGAGGAGUUUUGAUGUGAGGACUGUGAACAUCUCCAGAACAGGAGACAUUUGGAAGAGCUUGUGCCCACUGGUAUCUGAAACUUGGCUGCUCAUUCUUCAGAAACCCCUUGUAUCCUGCUAUGAUUCCUCAGCAACACCAUCACAUGGAAAAGAACCAACAAUGUGAAGAAACGAAUAUGGU
rnacentral:lncRNA from 1 species